rnacentral:ncRNA from 1 species
AUUAAAUCGUUGAAUGGGAAAAGUAGACCUUACCCAGUUAUAAGAGAGGAAGAUCCUUGGGCUGUAAGAUUUUCUUAAUAUGAAAGGUUGAAAACCACCUAUGAGUAUAAUUCUGAACUAACAGUAAGAAUUAUCGCUAGCUACGUUACAGCCUUAAGUGGAUUUUUAUCAAUUUGGGUGGAACUGCGGGAAAAUAUACUCUCGUCCCUUUC